GAUGAACGCUGGCGGCGUGCCUAAUACAUGCAAGUCGAGCGAACAGACGAGGAGCUUGCUCCUCUGACGUUAGCGGCGGACGGGUGAGUAACACGUGGAUAACCUACCUAUAAGACUGGGAUAACUUCGGGAAACCGGAGCUAAUACCGGAUAAUAUAUUGAACCGCAUGGUUCAAUAGUGAAAGACGGUUUUGCUGUCACUUAUAGAUGGAUCCGCGCCGCAUUAGCUAGUUGGUAAGGUAACGGCUUACCAAGGCGACGAUGCGUAGCCGACCUGAGAGGGGGAUCGGCCAAACUGGAACGGAGAAACGGCCCAGACUCCGACGGGAGGCAGCAGUAGGGAAUCUUCCGAAAGGGGGGAAAGCCUGCCGGAGCAACGCCGGGGGGGUGAUGAAGGUCUUCGGAUCGUAAAACUCUGUUAUGAGGGAAAAACAAAUGUGUAAGUAACUAUGCACGUCUUGACGGUACCUAAUCAGAAAGCCACGGCAAACUACGU
rnacentral:rRNA from 1 species